CACACACAAACAAAGAGGCGUUAGGCUGAGACGCUGAAAGUCCGGAUUUAAAGUGCAGAAAAUUAAGCCAUUGAAUCUGCCUGUCCAUGACGUACAAAGACACACUAUGAGCCAGUGUGAUCAGACCAGACCUUACAUCAGCAUUGAGGAGUUGUCGGAGAAGAAAGAGGCUGAUUGAAGCGGGACAGAUGACAUGGAUCCAUCCUUCCACAGCCAGGAGCGCACCGACCUGUGUCCCACACUUCAUAUAAGACUGGAAGCUACACUGAUCUCACAGCUACACACCACAGACGUCUACACACUGGAGAAGAUUCAGACAGAGUCCCACAAAGAAGUCAUGACCCAGAGGCUGCAGAGAAACAUUUCAAGCCUCAUCUGAGUUUUUGUACAAUAUUUUUGCUGUAUGUAAAUAAAGCUUUGACUCCACA